UNGGAUGUCUAGGGUACAGUGGGAUU
rnacentral:piRNA from 1 species